GGGCUCAUGGCGCAAUGGUAGCGUGUUUGGCUUCGAUGCCUAAAAUCGGCCACCAAAGGCUGCAGGUUCGAGUCCUGCUGUGCUCA